GGGGAAUAUUGCACAAUGGGGGAAACCCUGAUGCAGCGACGCCGCGUGGAGGAAGAAGGUCUUCGGAUUGUAAACUCCUGUUGUUGAGGAAGAUAAUGACGGUACUCAACAAGGAAGUGACGGCUAACUACGUGCCAGCAGCCGCGGUAAAACGUAGGUCACAAGCGUUGUCCGGAAUUACUGGGUGUAAAGGGAGCGCAGGCGGGCGAUCAAGUUGGAAGUGAAAUCCAUGGGCUCAACCCAUGAACUGCUUUCAAAACUGUUUUUCUUGAGUAGUGCAGAGGUAGGCGGAAUUCCCGGUGUAGCGGUGGAAUGCGUAGAUAUCGGGAGGAACACCAGUGGCGAAGGCGGCCUACUGGGCACCAACUGACGCUGAGGCUCGAAAGUGUGGGUAGCAAACAGGAUUAGAUACCCUGGUAGUCCACACCGUAAACGAUGAUUACUAGGUGUUGGAGGAUUGACCCCUUCAGUGCCGCAGUUAACACAAUAAGUAAUCCACCUGGGGAGUACGACCGCAAGGUUGAAACUCAAAGGAAUUGACGGGGGCCCGCACAAGCAGUGGAGUAUGUGGUUUAAUUCGACGCAACGCGAAGAACCUUACCAAGUCUUGACAUCCUGCGACGCACAUAGAAAUAUGUGUUUCCUUCGGGACGCAGAGACAGGUGGUGCAUGGUUGUCGUCAGCUCGUGUCGUGAGAUGUUGGGUUAAGUCCCGCAACGAGCGCAACCCUUAUGGUCAGUUACUACGCAAGAGGACUCUGGCCAGACUGCCGUUGACAAAACGGAGGAAGGUGGGGAUGACGUCAAAUCAUCAUGCCCUUUAUGACUUGGGCUACACACGUACUACAAUGGCGUUAAACAAAGAGAAGCAAGACCGCGAGGGGGAGCAAAACUCAGAAACAACGUCCCAGUUCGGACUGCAGGCUGCAACUCGCCUGCACGAAGUCGGAAUUGCUAGUAAUCGUGGAUCAGCAUGCCACGGUGAAUACGUUCCCG
rnacentral:rRNA from 1 species